rnacentral:rRNA from 1 species
AUUGAACGCUGGCGGCAUGCCUUACACAUGCAAGUCGAACGGCAGCACGGGGGCAACCCUGGUGGCGAGUGGCGAACGGGUGAGUAAUGCAUCGGAACGUGCCCAGUAGUGGGGGAUAACCCGGCGAAAGCCGGGCUAAUACCGCAUACGACCUAAGGGUGAAAGCGGGGGACCGUAAGGCCUCGCGCUAUUGGAGCGGCCGAUGUCUGAUUAGCUAGUUGGCGGGGUAAGAGCCCACCAAGGCGACGAUCAGUAGCUGGUCUGAGAGGACGACCAGCCACACUGUGACUGAGACACGGCCGAGACUCCUACGGGAGGCAGCAGUGGGGAAUUGUGGGCAAUGGGCGCAAGCCUGAUCCAGCCAUGCCGCGUGCGGGAAGAAGGCCUUCGGGUUGUAAACCGCUUUUGGCAGGAACGAAACGGCGCAAGCCAAUACCUUGCGCUAAUGACGGUACCUGCAGAAUAAGCACCGGCUAACUACGUGCCAGCAGCCGCGGUAACAC